UGUUAUACAUUCUUUAUUUUUCUUGCAGGGGAAAAGGAGUGGUAACUGGUUAAUAACUGCCUCAUUAAAUAGUGAUAGGAAAAAUAAACUGCAGUUGGAAAUGAAAUGACUAGACUCUUAUGAACCUCUAGGCAAGAGAAUCUUUUGGAUCGUACAAUUCAUAAUGUACUUUAUCUGCAGAGAAUUGUUCGCGAACAACGAUGUGUUCUAUCAGGCGACACUCGCCAUCCAAAAUGAAGUUUUGCAGAUGGAGCGUACUUCGUCGGGUUGAAAGUCCUUCAUUCUACUGAGAAUGCAACAUUCUCGUAUGGCUUCUGCAUCCCACGACUUGAAGUAAUUGAAAUGGACCAGCGCAUCCUGCAGGACAUCCCAUUCUUCCAUCAAAUAGCAACGCAAAAUCUCGUCGAACUUGUCGCGAGGGGAAAAGGAGUGGUAACUGGUUAAUAACUGCCUCAUUAAAUAGUGAUAGGAAAAAUAAACUGCAAUUGGAAAUGAAAUGACUAGAUUCUUAUGAACCUCUAGGGUUCUUCUGUUAACCACUCGAUGAACUCCAGGACGAGCCUGACAGUUGCUCGGAAGAGGUAGAUUCCUCUCAAUCUGAUAGGCUAUUCGUUUUAUCGUCAUUAGUGGUAACCACGGUUAAAUUUUACUUUGACGGACCUAAGGGUCGAAAAUGCCACUUUUAACUGCUCGUAACUUCUGUACCAGUGGAUUCCUCCCAUUAAGACUAGCAUUUCCGGAUUUUUCUCGACAAAAUCUAUAGAAUUACGUAAAAGAAACUAAACAAUUUUAGGUCCGCCAAAGUAAGGUGCACCCGCAACCACAAUAAAACAAAUGUAAUUUAACCAUGUAAAUUUCACUUACUCUACUCAAAAUCUCUGAUCUCCUCGCCAAUAUUUCCAUAAACGACUCCCGCAGGGAGAUUCUUCUGCCUAGCACCAUUUUCUGUUUUAUUUCAAUUAAUCGCAAGCUUUGAAUUUACGUGGCGUGUACCGAAUGUACGUGCAAUGUUUUAUCGAUA